UCAUGGGGUAGACUAAGAAAAGUCUGCAGGCUCAUAACCUGAAAAUAUGCCUAAGAGCAUUCUCGUGG
rnacentral:tRNA from 1 species